CCUACGGGGGGCAGCAGUGGGGAAUAUUGCACAAUGGGGGAAACCCUGAUGCAGCGACGCCGCGUGAGUGAUGAAGUAUUUCGGUAUGUACAGCUCUAUCAGCAGGGAAGAAAAUGACGGUACCUGACUAAGAAGCCCCGGCUAACUACGUGCCAGCAGCCGCGGUAAUACGUAGGGGGCAAGCGUUAUCCGGAUUUACUGGGUGUAAAGGGAGCGUAGACGGCAGUGCAAGUCUGAUGUGAAAGGCCGGGGCUUAACCCCGGGACUGCAGUGGACACUGUGUGGCUGGAGUGUAGGAGAGGCAGGUGGAAUUCCUAGUGUAGCGGUGAAAUGCGUAGAUAUUAGGAGGAACACCAGUGGCGAAGGCGGCUUACUGGACUGUAACUGACGUUGAGGCUCGAAAGCGUGGGGAGCAAACAGGAUUAGAUACCCGAGUAGUC
rnacentral:rRNA from 1 species